rnacentral:lncRNA from 1 species
AUUCAAUGUAAAUUAUGUAGAAAAAUGUGCUAGGCAUGUACACAUUUUCUUAAAGGAGAAGCAAAAGAAGAAAAGGCCUCCCAAAGCUGAUGAAGAAGCUCAGAAGUUGGCUGGCAAACUUCAAAAAGUUAACAAAUUCAUUAAGAAACAAAAGAUAUUGUGGUGACAGCUACCGGAACACUUGCUUUAGGAAUCAACAUGCCUUGUAGAUCUGUUGUUUUUGCCCAAAACUCAGUCUAUCUGGAUGCUUUAAAUUACAGACAGAUGUCUGGUCGUGCUGGAAGACGGGGGCAAGACCUGCUGGGAGAUGUAUAUUUCUUUGAUAUUCCUCUGCCCAAAGUAGGAAAACUGAUAAAAUCCAAAGUUCCUGAGCUCAAAGGACAGUUCCCUCUCAAGAUAACCCUGAUUCUGCGACUCAUGCUGCUGGCUUCCAAGGCAGAUGACCUAGAGGAUGGCCAGGCAAAGGUAUCAUCCUGGGUGCCACCUGAAGCAGACCUUGGCCACUGGUCUGGCUGCAGGCGCUGUCCAUGCUAAAGCAUUCGCUGCUGUCCUUCAAACAACCCAGAACCAUGGAGAUGUUAAAACUUUACUUUUUAUUUUUUUGCAGUUCUUGGUGAAGCAGGGCUACCUAGAUCGAGAAGGAAAUCCCACAGGAUUCGCUGGACUGGUAUCACAUUUGCAUUAUCAUGAACCCUCUAAUCUUGUUUUUGUCAGUUUUCUUGUAAGAGGCCUUUUCCAUAAUCUUUGCCAACCAACUAAUAAAGGCUCAAAAUGGUUUUCUCAAGAUGUUAUGGAAAAGCUAGUGCUAGUACUGGCAAAUCUCUUUGGAAGAAUAUAUAUUCCAGCAAAGUACUAUGAUGGUAAUAUGAAGUUUUAUCAGUCAAAGGUGUUCCUUGAUGAUCUCCCUGAGGAUUUCAGUGCUGCUUUAGUUGAGUACAACAUGCAAGUUACAAAGGACUUUGCCUCUUUUUUACCACUUGUGUCCAAAUUGGCUGAUAUGAAACAGGAGUAUCAACUCCCAUUGUCUGAAAUCAAAUUCACAGGUAAAGAAUGUGAAGACUCCCAACUUGUGUCUCACUUGAUGAGCUGCAAAGAAGGAAGAGCAGCAAUUUCACCAUUUGUUUGUCUCUCUGGGAACUUUGACAGUGAUUUGCUUCAACCAGAUAUUUCCAAUCAUUUCAUUCUGCGCACACUUGGCAUCAACCAUACUCAAGCUCCUAUACUGUGGCCAAAAAGAUUUGAUAGUCAAGGAAGAAGAAUGCCGCUUAAUGCUUAUGCACUGGACUUCUACAAACAUGGUUGCUUGGAAGUAUUAGAUCAGGAUAAUGGAAUACAUACGGGGACAGCUUAUCAUUUGUUGAAAGAUUUUUCACUCAUUAUUAAAUCUAUCAGUGUUUCCUUGCAUGAAUUAUGUGAGAAUGAAGAUGACAACGUUGUCUUAGCAUUUGAGCAACUGAGUGAAACUUACUCUGAAAAAUUCAAUAAAGUCUAAAAACAAAGUGCACAUAAACCUCUUAAAAUAUUGCCAUGGAAGUUUUAUAAGUUACAGUUUUGAUUCUCCUACUUUUCACAAAAAAUGCGUGAUGAAUUGUAAAAGCAAGCCGGGACAUCAAAGAGUGGAAUUCACACUGCCAUGUUCUAUCAUGAGUUCUCUCGGACAAAUUACUUAGUGUAUCUGAAUCUUGGUUUCUUUUAAUGUUUGAUUAAUCAUGCUUACAUCAGAUUAUAUUGAGGUUUGACAGAAAAUGCAAGGAUUUUGAAUGUAACUAAAGAGCCAUUUUUCCUCUGUGAGACCAGAACAAAUAUUGCACUUUCAACAUUUUUCUUUUUUUAUGAGGAUUUCUAAAAUGUUUAUUAAGGCUACAAAGAAACAAUUGUAGUAUCAUAAAGAUGAAAUGCAUUUUUUUCAAAUAACAUAAGUGGGAUUACAAAAUGUAGAUAUGACUAUUGAAAUAAUACAUUCUAAUAAACCAAGUGCUUUCUAAAAAUACAAGAGUUUGAGUUUCAAAUUACCUAAUACUUAAAUAACAUGUAGCUGGUAUUUGUUUUAUUUUAAUUACACAUGAGUGACUGGAAAAUAAGGAAGAAAUAAAAUGACUUAAAUCUCAUACUGUUGGUUUCAUUGUGU